rnacentral:rRNA from 1 species
CAGCACCUAGUGGUCAGGAUGAUUAUUGGGCCUAAAGCAUCCGUAGCCGGCGCUGUAAGUUUUCGGUUAAAUCUGUACGCUCAACGUACAGGCUGCCGGGAAUACUGCAGCGCUAGGGAGUGGGAGAGGUAGACGGUACUCGGUAGGAAGGGGUAAAAUCCUUUGAUCUAUUGAUGACCACCUGUGGCGAAGGCGGUCUACCAGAACACGUCCGACGGUGAGGGAUGAAAGCUGGGGGAGCAAACCGGAUUAGAUACCCGAGUAGUCC